CCGGAAACUAUUUGUAAGUUCCACUUCGUAUAUAUAGAAAAAAUAAAGUCGUUUUUUUCCAUACACUAUAGCAAACACUUCAAUUAAAUACAUAAAAAUACAAAGUCAAUGGAACAGGUACCACUACACUGCUACUUUUGCAUAGGUACUAUUUCUGUACUUGAAAUCUGUAGUACUGGAAAUUUACUUUUAAUAUUAAGUACUUUUUCUCAAUUUAAAAUUAUUGUAAUAUUUAGGUACCUGUAUUUUACAGUACUUGAUUUGUACUUAAAAUAUUGGUACAGAAAUAGUACCAACAAUGAUCACAGUAUAGAAUCAUAUUCAAAACAGUGUAGCUGUGGCCAUUGAUUGACAACCUUAAAUUAUCCCAUUGACUGGGGCAGAUUAGGUGAACGUGUGUCUGUACCAACAACUGCUCACUACUUACUUAUUAUAGAAUUUAAACUGUGGGGUCACCAAAGGUUCUAAACGCCUUUAAUAUUAAAAUAAUUCGAAAAGUUAAUCAGGAAUAACUUUAUGUUUUGAUUUAUAUUAUUGAUAUAAAUCAAAACAUCGUGUUAUUCCUGAUUAGUUUUUCUAAUUUCUUUAUUUAGGUGUUGGGAACCUUUUGUGACCCCACAGUUUAACAAGUACAUAGUGAGCAGUUGUCGUUACAGACACACGUUCACCUAAUUUGCCCCGGUCAAUGGGAUAAUUUAAGGUCGUCAAUCAAUGGCCACAGCUACACUGUUUUGAAUAUGAUUCUAUCAUGUUUGAACAUCAUAACUAUAAGAGAUUUGAAAUGGGCAAACUUUCAAAAUGCUGAAAAUAUAACGUUGCAGCCAAAAUUCUGUAGUACUUUAAAUUUCAAGUACAAAAUCAAGUACUGUAAAAUAAAGGUACCUAAAUAUUACAAUACUUGUAAAGUACCAAAAUAGUACUGAAUAUUAAAAGUAGAUUUCCUGUAUUACAUAUUAGGGGUACUGAAAUAGUACCUAUGCAAAAGUAGCUAUGUACAUAAAAAAUUAAUCAAAAUUUAAACCUACAACCUAUACAAUUCAUUUUUGCUCAUUACAGACAAUGUUUAAAAAAAAUCUUGAAAAUGAAACUGACACAUUUUGAUUUUCUGUUUGAAAAUUAGAAAAGGUAAUUAUUUAACUACACUUUUAAAGGAUAAGGUUCGAUUAAAAGUUACGUGACGUAUAAAAUUUUCUGACGUCAGACACUCAAAUCAAUAAAUGUGUUCGUAGAUAGUAGAUGUUUUUGUGUUCUGUUAAAUUGUUCCUUUUAAAAUUGUUAAACGAUGAUGACUGAUGUACCCAUAUUUUGACUAUUUUAUUUAUUGUGUCUGUUUAUUUAACGCAUCAAUGUAAAAAUAUCGGAAAUUGAUGAGACUGUCAUUAAAGUGAGAGGGUUAGCGCUAUAGAACCAGGUUUAAUCCACCAUUUUCUACAUUUGAAAAUGCCUGUACCAAGUCAGGAAUAUGACAGUUCUUAUCCAUUCGUUUUGAUGCGUUUUGUUUGAUUUUGCCAUGUGAUUAUGGACUUUCCCAAUUGAUCUUCCUCUAAGUUCGGUAUUUUUGUGAUUUUACUUUUUACAAAGCAUGUCAAAAAACAUUGUUUGACGUUAACGUCACAACUUAAACUAAAUAAAGCUUUUCGGUUUUAGUGAAAAGCUAUUAAUAUUUCUGUCUUCAUACUGCAGCCUAAAUAAUAAAACUAGAUAAUGUUCUACAUUAAAUAUAUCCAUAGUUUACGUUAUUUAGUGCCAAAUUGGUAUGUGAAUGAACUAUUUUACGUUAUUAAUCUAUUACGUUAUUUGUGCUAUAUUUUAGCACUUGUGAAAACUGUCGGUAAGUUUAUUUUAUGUUUGUGCUUAUUAUCCUUUUUCUUUCUUUUAAUCUAUCUUUCAGCUUCUUUUUCUUUCCUUUUGUUUUCCUAUGUUUGUUUUAUUUACAAUCUAUUCAUAAUCUAAAAAUAGUGCUAUUGUACUGUAAUAUUUCAUUCUUAUAUCGUAAUACGAUUAUAGUGAUUCAUGCUAUAUAAUACUUACUUGGCAAUCACAUUACCAAAGUAAAAGCAUCAAUAUAUUCGUGCAGUGUUUUACCUACGUAUAGCAAACAGUAGCUUAUUCAGAUUUUGAAACGGAUUUUUACUAUUGUAGAUAUUUAUCAUAAAACAAGGAACGAAAUUUUGCUUUAGUAAACCUUUGUUUCUUAACAUUUACUAUGAGAAAUUUGAUAUAAGCAUUUAGUUUGACAUUUUGAUCAUUAGAAUAAGUAAGAAACCUUCAAACUUCUUUGAAAAUAAAAAUCCUGAAUGCGCUGACAAGAGAAUGUACACUAACACUAACCUGGGGUAAUAGCAUUCGGCAUGGUAAAUAUCUAACAUUGUUUUAUACAUCAUGUGCAUGGUAUAUACAUCCUGAUUUUUAAAAGACAACAACAAAUAAAGUAUACUUGUAAAAACGUUAAAAAGCACAUCUAGGUUUUUAAGUAAUUUUAUUAAUGAUUGGUGAAAUCGUCUUAUGUAUUGGAACACUUUACUUGUUGUCGAAAAAACGUCAUUGGCAAGUAAUAAAUAUAAUUACAUUUGAGCUAUUUGUUUAAUAGAUAACAUGGACGCACAAAAAUCGAUAUAUCAAAUCAUACAUUUAAAAUAGGACUUUAAUUUUAACGUAUCUACUUUUUGAGAACAAAAUCAUCAAGCUACUAACGUUAUUUAUAUAUAUAUAUAUAUAUACAAUUCAUUUGUUGGUAAAUGAUAGAAAUAUGCUAAGUUAUCUACAUAACUCACUGAAAAAAGGAUUUAGAUUUUUUUUCUCACAAAUAUCAAAUAUUACAUGUAUUAGUAUCUAUUUAUGUAUUCUAUAUAUUCACAUGUUUCAGAUGUCAAAGGUUUUUUCUUUCAAAUCAAUAGAAGUAACAGAAACAUUAAUUAACAAAGAAGAUCUGCAUACAAAGCGAAUGCAUCAUCUCUUCUGACUAUUGGGGAAUGUAAUCUUUGAUAUCAUUUGAAUAUUUAUCUUACUAUUUCUGUGUACUAUGAAUUUAUAACAAAUGGAAAAUAUGUAGUGCAUUAUACUUUAUCUGAUAUGUUUGCGAAAGUUUGAACCUGUUCAGUUAACAUAAUGAAUCAUUUAAAAAAUAUACCAUGUACAACAUGAUAUAUUAAUAAUUCAAUUGUUUUUGUUCACUUUUCCGAGAUCAUUUAUUGUAUUCUAAAAACCC
rnacentral:lncRNA from 1 species